AGUGAAUAGAUACCCCGGUAGUCCCAGCCGUAAACGAUGCUCGCUAGGUGUCAGGCAUGGCGCGACCGUGUCUGGUGCCGCAGGGAAGCCGUGAAGCGAGCCACCUGGGAAGUACGGCCGCAAGGCUGAAACUUAAAGGAAUUGGCGGGGGAGCACAACAACGGGUGGAGCCUGCGGUUUAAUUGGACUCAACGCCGGACAACUCGCCGGGGGCGACAGCAAUAUGUAGGCCAGGCUGAAGACCUUGCCUGAAUCGCUGAGAGGAGGUGCAUGGCCGUCGCCAGUUCGUACUGUGAAGCAUCCUGUUAAGUCAGGCAACGAGCGAGACCCGUGCCCACUGUUACCAGCAUAUUCUCCGGAAUGAUGGGUACUCUGUGGGGACCGCCGAUGUUAAAUCGGAGGAAGGUGCGGGCCACGGUAGGUCAGUAUGCCCCGAAUCUCCCGGGCUACACGCGGGCUACAAUGGAUGGGACAAUGGGUCCCUACCCCGAAAGGGGCUGGUAAUCUCACAAACCCAUUCGUAGUUCGGAUCGAGGGCUGUAAC
rnacentral:rRNA from 1 species